CCUACGGGGGCAGCAGUGGGGAAUAUUGGACAAUGGGGGCAACCCUGAUCCAGCCAUGCCGCGUGAGUGAUGACGGCCUUAGGGUUGUAAAGCUCUUUUCUCCGGGACGAUAAUGACGGUACCGGAGGAAUAAGCCCCGGCUAACUUCGUGCCAGCAGCCGCGGUAAUACGAAGGGGGCUAGCGUUGCUCGGAAUCACUGGGCGUAAAGGGCGCGUAGGCGGCUGAUUUAGUCGAGGGUGAAAGCCUGUGGCUCAACCACAGAAUUGCCUUCGAUACUGGUUGGCUUGAGACCGGAAGAGGACAGCGGAACUGCGAGUGUAGAGGUGAAAUUCGUAGAUAUUCGCAAGAACACCAGUGGCGAAGGCGGCUGUCUGGUCCGGUUCUGACGCUGAGGCGCGAAAGCGUGGGGAGCAAACAGGAUUAGAUACCCUGGUAGUCCACGCUGUAAACGAUGAAUGCUAGCCGUUGGUCUGCAUGCAGGUCAGUGGCGCCGCUAACGCAUUAAGCAUUCCGCCUGGGGAGUACGGUCGCAAGAUUAAAACUCAAAGGAAUUGACGG
rnacentral:rRNA from 1 species